UACGUAGGGUGCAAGCGUUAAUCGGAAUUACUGGGCGUAAAGCGUGCGCAGGCGGCUUUGCAAGACAGAUGUGAAAUCCCCGGGCUCAACCUGGGAACUGCAUUUGUGACUGCAUGGCUGGAGUGCGGCAGAGGGGGAUGGAAUUCCGCGUGUAGUGGUGAAAUGCGUAGAUAUCGGGAGGAACACCAGUGGCGAAGGCGACUUCCUGGCCUGUUCUUGACGCUGAGGCGCGAAAGCUAGGGGAGCAAACGGG
rnacentral:rRNA from 1 species